GACGAACGCUGGCGGCGUGCCUAAUACAUGCAAGUCGAGCGCAUCGAUGGGAGCUUGCUCCCUGAAGUGAGCGGCGGAUGGGUGAGUAACACGUGGGUAACCUGCCUGUCAGAUCGGGAUAACUGUGGGAAACCGCAGCUAAUACCGGAUAAUCCUUAGCACCGCAUGGUGCGGAGUUGAAAGAUGGUUUCGGCUAUCACUGACAGAUGGGCCCGCGGUGCAUUAGUUAGUUGGCGGGGUAACGGCCCACCAAGACUGCGAUGCAUAGCCGACCUGCGAGGGUGAUCGGCCACAUUGGGACUGAGACACGGCCCAAACUCCUACGGGAGGCAGCAGUAGGGAAUCUUCCACAAUGGACGAAAGUCUGAUGGAGCAACGCCGCGUGAGCGAAGAAGGUUUUCGGAUCGUAAAGCUCUGUUGCUGGAGAAGAACGAGUACGAGAGGAAAUGCUCGUACUGUGACGGUAUCCAGCCAGAAAGCCACGGCUAACUACGCGCCAGCAGCCGCGGUAACAC
rnacentral:rRNA from 1 species